CGCACGCGCCCCUGGGCAGAGGGGGAGCGGAGAGGCUGGGCAGCAGGCACGGACGUUGCCAGAAGUAUCUUCCAAAAAUCAAUUGGAGCGCAGGUGCACUGCUCCGCAGACAUGAAACACACAGAGCUCCUUGAGGGCAGGGAGGACUGAAACUACUUCCUGGGAUGGUCACCACAGCCUAGUACUCCACACAGCAUCACAGAGCCUGCAGACAGCGGUGACGCAGGGCAAGGCUUGUAGGCUAGUCGGGAGCGGCGUCACCGAAGAGAAUGACCACCCGCCCGGUAGAGGAAGGCCUUUCCAGACAGCUUGAGCAACACGCACAAAGGCAGGAGCCCGCGACUCCCGAGCCCGCAGGUGCAGGGGCAGGUCCUGCCUAGAGUGGGCGCCGGGCAGCUUUGCGCCCGCUCCUUGGCUGGAGCCCCACAACCCCCUCCCCCUCCUCCUCCCCAUCCCUGGCCGCCCCCUCCUGGCCGGACCCCCAGCCGCGGGGCUUGGUGCGGGACGGGGAUGCUUCCUUCUGGAAGCCUCGCUUGACUAGCGCACCUCGCGGUGACUCCCUUCUGAGCUCAGGGCGUUUAUUGCCAAGGCUGUUUAGUACUUACUCAUGUAAUUAGUUACAUGCAUCCUUACGUGUGUGAUAUUGUUACUUAACUUUUCAUGCAAAUCCUUUCUUCCCCAGCUCAAUUUUAAGCUUCCUGAGAGUGGGAACUGUAUAUUUUUUUAUUUUCUGUAUUCCCUCAGGGCACCUGGCAUUCAUGGACAUAUUAAAGGAAUGAAUUUCGUGAAUUUAGUCCACUUUGGGACCUAUUA